AACCAUUCUCACCUGCGGCUAGACCUGCGGAGGGAUCAUUACCGAGUUUACAACUCCCAAACCCCUGUGAACAUACCUAUACGUUGCCUCGGCGGAUCAGCCCGCGCCCCGUAAAAAGGGACGGCCCGCCCGAGGACCCCUAAACUCUGUUUUUAGUGGAACUUCUGAGUAAAACAAACAAAUAAAUCAAAACUUUUAACAAUGGAUCU
rnacentral:misc_RNA from 1 species